CCUACGGGAGGCAGCAGUGGGGAAUAUUGGACAAUGGGGGGAACCCUGAUCCAGCGACGCCGCGUGAGUGAAGAAGUAUUUCGGUAUGUAAAGCUCUAUCAGCAGGGAAGAAAGAAAUGACGGUACCUGACUAAGAAGCCUCGGCUAACUACGUGCCAGCAGCCGCGGUAAUACGUAGGGGGCAAGCGUUAUCCGGAUUUACUGGGUGUAAAGGGAGCGUAGACGGCGAUGCAAGUCUGAGGUGAAAGGCGGGGGCCCAACCCCCGGACUGCUUUGGAAACUGUAUGGCUGGAGUGCAGGAGAGGUAAGUGGAAUUCCUAGUGUAGCGGUGAAAUGCGUAGAUAUUAGGAGGAACACCAGUGGCGAAGGCGGCUUACUGAACUGUAACUGACGUUGAGGCUCGAAAGCGUGGGGAGCAAACAGGAUUAGAUACCCGGGUAGUC
rnacentral:rRNA from 1 species